rnacentral:rRNA from 1 species
AUUACAACAUACUGGCUUGUCAAAGCCUGAUCUUGUCAGAUCUCAGAAGCUAUUCAAGGCCAGCCCUGGUUAGUACUUGGAUGGGAAACCACUGGGAAACCACUGUGAAUA